UACGGAAGGCAGCAGUGGGGAAUAUUGCACAAUGGGCGAAAGCCUGAUGCAGCUAUGCCGCGUGUAUGAAGAAGGCCUUAGGGUUGUAAAGUACUUUCAUCGGGGAGGAAAAAACAAAACUAAUAAUUUUAUUUCUUGACGUUACCCGAAAAAGAAGCACCGGCUAACUCCGUGCCAGCAGCCGCGGUAAUACGGAGGGUGCUAGCGUUAAUCAGAAUUACUGGGCGUAAAGAGCACGUAGGUGGUUUUUUUAAGUCAGAUGUGAAAUCCCUGGGCUUAACCUAGGAACUGCAUUUUGAAACUGAAAUACUAGAGUAUCGUAGAGGGAGGUAGAAUUCUAGGUGUAGCGGUGAAAUGCGUAGAUAUCUGGAGGAAUACCUGUGGCGAAAGCGGCCUCCUAAAUGAAUACUGACACUGAGGUGCGAAAGCGUGGGGAGCAAACAGGGAUUAGAUACC
rnacentral:rRNA from 1 species